rnacentral:rRNA from 1 species
UACGUAGGGCGCGAGCGUUGUCCGGAAUUAUUGGGCGUAAAGAGCUCGUAGGCGGCCUGUUGCGUCUGCUGUGAAAUCCCGGGGCUUAACCCCGGGCGUGCAGUGGAUACGGGCAGGCUGGAGGCAGGCAGGGGAGAACGGAAUUCCCGGUGUAGCGGUGAAAUGCGCAGAUAUCAGGAGGAACACCGGUGGCGAAGGCGGGUCUCUGGGCCGGUACCGACGCUGAGGAGCGAAAGCGUGGGGAGCGAACAGG